GACUCAGUGAAAUUGAACUCGCUGUGAAGAUGCAGUGUACCCGCGGCAAGACGGAAAGACCCCGUGAACCUUUACUAUAGCUUGACACUGAACAUUGAGCCUUGAUGUGUAGGAUAGGUGGGAGGCUUUGAAGUGUGGACGCCAGUCUGCAUGGAGCCGACCUUGAAAUACCACCCUUUAAUGUUUGAUGUUCUAACGUGGACCCGUGAUCCGGGUUGCGGACAGUGUCUGGUGGGUAGUUUGACUGGGGCGGUCUCCUCCUAAAGAGUAACGGAGGAGCACGAAGGUUGGCUAAUCCUGGUCGGACAUCAGGAGGUUAGUGCAAUGGCAUAAGCCAGCUUGACUGCGAGCGUGACGGCGCGAGCAGGUGCGAAAGCAGGUCAUAGUGAUCCGGUGGUUCUGAAUGGAAGGGCCAUCGCUCAACGGAUAAAAGGUACUCCGGGGAUAACAGGCUGAUACCGCCCAAGAGUUCAUAUCGACGGCGGUGUUUGGCACCUCGAUGUCGGCUCAUCACAUCCUGGGGCUGAAGUAGGUCCCAAGGGUAUGGCUGUUCGCCAUUUAAAGUGGUACGCGAGCUGGGUUUAGAACGUCGUGAGACAGUUCGGUCCCUAUCUGCCGUGGGCGCUGGAGAACUGAGGGGGGCUGCUCCUAGUACGAGAGGACCGGAGUGGACGCAUCACUGGUGUUCGGGUUGUCAUGCCAAUGGCACUGCCCGGUAGCUAAAUGCGGAAGAGAUAAGUGCUGAAAGCAUCUAAGCACGAAACUUGCCCCGAGAUGAGUUCUCCCUGAGACUUAGAGUCUCCUGAAGGAACGUUGAAGACGACGACGUUGAUAGGCCGGGUGUGUAAGCGCAGCGAUGCGUUGAGCUAACCGGUACUAAUGAACCGUGAGGCUUAACCUUACAACGCCGAAG
rnacentral:rRNA from 1 species